GCCCAACAUUAUCAACAGCUAACCUCGUCCGUCCUGGAAUAACGUUUGCAGUGGAGAUUUUCAAAAACUUCAUCGGCAUAGUUCUAAAUUAAAUCCCAUUCAAGACCAAGAUGAGAGAUGUUAAGCUUGGAGGCAAAAGAUCUACACCAGGAUUCUCCAGGCAAAGCAUUUGCGGCAGUUGAAAAGAAAGGUAAAUGUUCUGGCUGAGAAAAUGGCAAAGGCAAAGAAUCCACUUUUAGACCCUGACGUUGGCAGUCAGCUUGUUGAAGAAUGGUAACAAGAUCUUGAGAAUGUUGUGAAUGAUUGAGAUUGUAGUCAAGCUUCUUUGAGGUAUUCAGCAUUGAAGAAAUGUUUUUUUGUUCUUGACCACGUUUCAUAGGAGUAUUGUUGUUGACAUCAAGCCUUUUCAAAUCAAGAAUCUGUUCCAGAAUAAAGCAGGUACUUUCCUGCUGUGGACCUUUGUACGAUAACUGAAAGAUGAUGAAAAAGACUGAGAAUGCAAACUAGAAAGGGUUUCGAGUCUUCAAAGGGAAAGAAAGAAAAAUUACUGCAUAGUUCUUUGUUUGUUCCCUAAUAGUGAAUCUAAAAGAUCAUUUUUAUGGUUGAAAUAGCAGGUUACAAAAAUCAUAUUCCAUUGAUGCAAAGUAAAUAAUGUAAAUAGCAGGUAGCUCUGUGUUAAACUUCAUAUACAAAGUUGUUGUAUUAACUUGUAAUAUUUCAUAUACAAGACAUUAAAUAUUAUCCUAGUUGCAACUGCUUUGAUUAA